GACGAACGCUGGCGGCGUGCUUAACACAUGCAAGUCGAACGGUGAAGCGCCUUCCUUUUUGGUGGGUGUGGAUGAGUGGCGAGCGGGUGAGUAACACGUGAGUAACCUGCCCCCUUCUUCUGGAUAACCGCAUGAAAGUGUGGCUAAUACGGGAUAUUCUGGGUCUGUCGCAUGAUGGGUCUGGGAAAGAUAUUGUUUCGGUGGGGGAUGGGCUCGCGGCCUAUCAGCUUGUUGGUGGGGUGAUGGCCUACCAAGGCGGUGACGGGUAGCCGGCCUGAGAGGGUGGACGGUCACACUGGGACUGAGACACGGCCCAGACUCCUACGGGAGGCAGCAGUGGGGAAUAUUGCACAAUGGGCGCAAGCCUGAUGCAGCGACGCCGCGUGAGGGAUGGAGGCCUGCGGGUUGUGAACCUCUUUCGCCAGUGAAGCAGGCCUGCCUCGUUUGUGGGUGGGUUGACGGUAGCUGGAUAAGAAGCGCCGGCUAACUACGUG
rnacentral:rRNA from 1 species